UUAAUGUGGCUCGUGGGUACAAAAAUUUCAGCAAAAAAUUAAAUCUUUAUUUUUUCAUUACAAAUUUUAUUUAUUACACUAUUAGUUAUUACUUUAUAAUAUGGUACAAAAAUCAACCCAAAAAAUCGAUUCGUUUUGGCCCCAGAUGACUUUUAAAAUGUUUAUAUUAUUGAACAAGCUCCAAAUUAUCUCCCUUUGGUACAAAAAUGCCAUUUUU
rnacentral:lncRNA from 1 species